GGCCCGAUGGUCUAGAGGCUUGGUUCUCGCUUAGGGUGCGAGAGGUCCCGGGUUCAAUUCCCGGUCGGGCCC
rnacentral:tRNA from 1 species